UUAAAAUGUUAAAAAUGAUUAAUUGCAUAAUUAGAUGCAUAAUCCAAAAUAUUCCAAAUAAUCCAAGAUAUUCCAAAUAAUCCAAAAGCAUCUACAUAAUUACCCAAAAAGAUCUUAAAUUAAAAUUAUACAAAUCUUACAAAUAAUUCCAAAAAAAAAGCUUACAUAAAUAAUCCAAAAGUUCAUAUAUUAACUCCCAAAGCCAAUGCAUAAUCAUAAAUAUUACAAAUAAUCUCAAAGUUACAUAAUACAUUAUCCAAAAAGUUCUGUUACAUCAGAAGAAAUUUGAAAAAGCAGAAACUGCUGUAAAUCCAACAGAUUGAGCAGCAAACUUGCAAGGACAUUUCCAAAACUCUGUUGAACUCACAGCGCCCCCAAGCUUUUUCCAAAAACAAACGCAUACCUCCUUUCAAUCAACAUCACUUCACUUUUGUAAAACCUGCAAAAUCAACUUAGAGGUUAAAAAGGCUUAUCAAAUAAGCGCUUAUGGAAAACUGAAAAACAAUUGAUGAAAUGCUCAGGUUAAUGUUUUGCACAAGAGAUCAUAAUAAACACUAAUUCAAACAACUCUAAAUCCACAGAAUAAUCAUCCCAUAAAAUCUGGAAAAGAAAUAACCUAACAAGUUAUCUCAAAACCUAAAUAUUCACCAUAUAUAUAACAACAACAUAGAUUAACAGUGAGGACGCGUUUUUGGAGAAUCCAAGAGAAAACAAUCAAAAUAUUUUCUGUUAACAUCAAACCCUAAAAAACAAAACAACAGCACGGUUUGGAGAAUCCAGGAAGAAAUCAAAAAAUAUUUUUUUAAAUAUUUUAACACAUAACAUUCAAAGAAACCAAGAGAGCAUUCAACAAAAACAACAUCCAAACCAAAAAUAGAGAAAGACAAAGAGCAUAAAAAGGAAGAAGGGAAGACUCAUCUCAAACGGUGGGGAGACGUCAUCGGCGUUUGACUCCAACCAAGUAAAAUUUUCGUUCUCGUUUAAAUCUUUUGCACCAUCAUCUUCGCCUCUCCAUACUGAUUAAAACCCCUUUUAUAAUUUUUUCAAAUCGUGACUUUAGAGGGACGAAUUUCAAAACCUAGAGUUAGGUUUUCUUUCACAUGUUUGCCUAUGGCUGUGGUUAGGAUGAGUUAGGGUUUUCGUUGGUGGUGUGAGAGUUGAUUUGAGUUAGGGUUUAGGUUUGUGUUUUCUUUUGGGAGUGCCGAUCCGGUUGAUUGAAGUGAAUUUUGGGAGAAACAAGGUUGGAUUUGGAUUCAUAAGCAAAAAUGAGGUGGGGCAUGUGUUUGGUUUUUUAGGUUUAGGGUUGAGGGUCACCGGAGAAGAAGGCGACGCCGCCACGGUUGGCUGACCGUCACCGUCUUCUCCGGCAGGUUUGGCCGGGGUUUGACGGAAGAGGGAAGAGAGAGUUGCAGAGCAACUCUGCUCUUUAGAUGAAGAGAGAGAAUGAAACGAGCAAAUGGUGCUCUCUCUCUCAAAUAUUUGUUUUUAUAUGAAGAGGAAGGGUGACGCGUGGAGGCCAAGUGGCCUCUCCUGGAGGCGCCACGCGUGGUUGACUGUUGAGUCAACCAAGGGAUCCUGUGUGGAUCCCCCCACCAUAUGCUGGUGCACCCGCUCAAGCUUUCCUCUGAUUUAUUGACUGGGUCAAAGUCCUCUGAUCCAGUGGUCCAGAGCCUCCUCACAAGGUCAACAGUUGACCAGGCCUUAAGGGCCUUGCUGGACUCGUUUUGGGCCAACCCAGGUUGGGCCCAAAGACUCUUUUUGCCAAACAAACCCCCUGUUUUGUUCAAUAGUCCCCAGGUUUUUGGGCUUUUCAUUUCAAGCCCAUUUAUUCUCUUUCUUUGAUUUUUUCUUUCAUUUUCUAUCUUUAAAAAUAUAUAUAUAUAUAUAUAUUAUUAAUAUUCUUAUUGAUACCUAAUUAAUUAUUUAUUUACAUUAUUAUUAUUUAAUUACUUAUAUCAUUUAAUCAAAUAAUCCAUAAAUUAUUUAAUUAGUCAAUUAUAUUAUUAUUAUUACUAUCACUUAUAAUUGUUUUUCUUCCAUUUUCUAUCUUUAAAAAUUAUAUAUAUUAUUAUUAAUACCUAAUUAAUUAUUUGUUUAUAUUAUUAUUAUUUAAUUACUAUAUCAUUUAAUCAAAUAAUCCAUUAAUUAUUUAAUCAAUUAAUUAUAUUUAUUACUAUCACUUAUAAUGUAGAUAAUUACUUAGUUUUGUGGAAUGUGUGUGCAUUAUUAUUUUGUACCUACUUAUUUGUAUCAAGUCUUGAAUGCAUAUGUAUGAUGUGUUACAAUUGUGACAAGAUUAUGUCGUUUUCACCGAUUUAAAAUCAUUCGAACCAAUUUCAAAAAUAAAUCACAUGUUUUCUCGAUUCAAAGUCGAGCUCAUUUUCACAACACCUUUGUAAGUCGAUUACUUGUAAAAGUAUCGCCAUCAACCUCACAUGGCUUACUCUUGGGUUUUCUUACAAUGAGACCUAUUCGGUUUUAAUUAAUCAAUUAGAUGAACUAUUCACUAAAUAAAUUCAAUUCAUUCACAAAAUACAUAUUUAAAACCUCGAUCCAACAUCGAGUAUUCUUUAUUAAGAAUUAAAAUACCUGGUCACAAUUAAACGUUAUUUCACUUAGGAAUAAAAGAGGAAAUGGUUUUGAGUUUUCAACUCCUCUCCUCGAUUAUUUAAACACGAACUCUUGUACUCGAUUAAUCGAACAAUCGUCAUUUCUAAUCCCCUUAAGAAUAAAUAAAUCAAAUUCUUUUAUAUUAAGAAAUAAAAAGGGAGAUGACUUUGAGUCUUCAAUUUUUCUCCUCGACUAUUUGAAUACAAGUUCUCUUACUUGGUUAGUCAAAUAAUUGGCGUUCCUUUACAAAUCUCCAAACCCCGAUUAAAUCAAAAUAUUUUCACAGUAAGCUAAAUGAAAAGGGAGUUGACUUUGAGUUUUCAACUUCACUCCUUAGUUGGUCGAAUACGAGUUCUCUUACUCGGUCAGUCGAACAAUUGUCAUUUUUCCGCAAACAUACAACUUAAUCAAAUCAUUUUCUUAACAAACUAUACGAAAAAGGAGUUGGUUUUGAGCUUUCAACUCCUCUUCUCAAAUGUUUGGAUAUGAGUUGUUUUACUCAGUCGUUCAAGUACUUGUCGUUCAUUCUAAAAUACGUCAACCAUAUAACCUUAUUUUCAGAAAUAUUCAGAUGAAACAGAAAGCGGUCUAAAGUCUUCUAUUCCUUUUCUGAUUAUUAGGAUACGAGUUGUCUUACUCGAUUAUCCGAGUAUUCGUCAUCCGUCCAAAACACCUUAAUUAUUAUCAAAUCUUUCCUAUAAUUAAGGAUGAAAAAAAGUGGUCUAGAGUCUUCUAUUCCCUUUCCCGACUGUUAGGAUACGAGUUGUCUUACUCGACUAUUCGAGUAAUCGUCAUCCAACCAAAAACAUCUCAACCAAUCAAAACAUCCCACAUAUUAAUCCAACUAUUCACCUUCGUGUGACCAAAACUCUUUUCAAAAAGAACACCAUUUAAUCCUUCCUAAUGCGCAUAACAAACCAAUGCUUAAGCCUCCGCCGAGAAUAGACAAGCCAACGUUUAGUGUUUAGGAUGCGAUAUAAACAGUUGUUCAUUAAAAAACACCAACCAACCGUAGUUCCCCGAACUACGAAUGCUCUAAUUUCCUUAUUACCAUAAGGAUACGUAGGCAGGAGAUUGAUGUAUCUUCGCGAGCACACUAAUAAAAAAUCUCCCCUUUCCCUUUUUUAAGUUCUCAUCUAUUUCUAUUUUUUAAUAAUUUUAUAACCAAAAGAUAACAAACAAACAUAAAUUAACACUCAAAACACAAAUUAGAACUGAAAGGUUCCCGUUGAGUACAACGGACGUAAGGGGUGCUAAUACCUUCCCCUUACGUAAUCCACUCCCGAACCCGAAUAUGGUUGCGACGACCAUUAUUCUAUUUCCUAAAGGUUUUAUCGAUAUUUUCAGUUGAGUACAACGGACGUAAGGGGUGCUAAUACCUUCCCCUUACGUAAUCCACUCCCGAACCCGAAUAUGGUUGCGACGACCAUUAUUCUAUUUCCUAAAGGUUUUAUCGAUAUUUUCCUAUCCCUUCAUUUGGAUAAAUAAAGUUUGGUGGCGACUCUGUUUGAACAUAAAUUUUUUCCACGACCAUCGCGAAGAAUCGUAUUUUUCGAGAUGCGACAGUUUGUGUACUAAAAAUCCCAGGAAGUAACCUGCAUGUACUCCGAAGGCACACUUCAAUGGAUUCAUUUUCAAUCCAUAUCUCCUCAUUCUAUCAAACGAGCGUCGAAGGUGAUCUAGGUGUCCUUCUUGAGAUGACGAUUUUACCACGAUAUCGUCGAUAUAUACCUGCAUGAACUUCUCAAUUAAGUCAUGAAAGAUGGCAUUCAUGGCUCUUUAGUAAGUUGCUCCCGCAUUUUUUAACCCAAACGGCAUGACGACCCACUCGUAUGUCCCAAACGCCCAGGGCAUCAAAACGUUGUCUUGGAGACACCCUCUUCGGUAAUGAGAAUCUGAUUGUAGCCGGAGUACCCAUCAAGCAGGAUCAGAUACUCAAAACCUGCGGCCAAGUCGGCCAACAUUUCCGCCAUUGGCAUCGAAUAUUCAUCCUUCGGCAUGGCGUUGUUCAGAUCUCUGAAAUCUAUGUAAAUCCUAAGAGUUAUGUUUUUCUUGAUGACAAGCACUAUGUUGGCCAGCCAUUCCAUGUACCUUGUCGUUCUUAUGAAACGACUCUUUAGGAGUCUUUCGAUUUCUGGCUUUAUCUUCGAAGUGACGUUCGGAGCAACUCGUCGAGGGUGUUGCUUCACCGGCUUCUUCCCAGGUUGGAUAGGAAGCCGUAUUUGUAUUCAAUUAACACCUCGACUAGCCUUGCAUUCAUCUCUGACCCCACCUUAGUACUUAUGUAGGUUGGUCUUUUUGUGGUCCCAUUUCCCAGGUCGAUCUCUUCAAGGGGAUCUUGCGCUUACAUCUUCUGGGACUCAUUUUAUGGGUUCUUUUCGAACCCCAAAGACUCAUUGUCAUAGAUACAAUCAAGCCUCUGGCUUUCCGAAGUUGUUGUCUGGUCUUGUUGACCAUCAUCUAGACUUUCGGCCUCACAGUCUAAAUUCUGGAGUCUCUUCCUUUCCAGAGUCGACUUCCUCUUGUUUUCAGCCAAAUAGGUCGAAAUUCGAGCCAGGCUUUCUGACUCAGCAGUCAUCUUCAACGACUGUUUGCCACCUCGUAGGUGGGAUUCCCAUCUCUGAUCCUGUGUCUUCCUCGUUAUCCUAGAUGAAACCAUGAUCAGGGUCCAAGUUCAGAACUCGACCAGUAUUGACGAAAGUAUAAGAUCCCGACUCGUCGUCACAUGGCGCUAUGUUCGCCAAAUGUUGGUCAAACAAUCUCUUGGAACCCCUAUCGUCGACCCGGUAAUAGCUUUGAUCGGCCUCGAUAUUCUCUACAAUGCCGUCUUUUCUCCAGAUUAUGAGCCUUUGGUGGACCGUUGAGGGAACAACCCAUAUCCCAUGGAUCCAUUCUCGACCCAGGAGUAAGUUGAAGUUGGCCUUUAAGUCUAUUACCAUAAAUAGUGUUGAACGUGUUGUCGUGCCUACCGCAAGGUCGAUCUGGACUACCCCCAUUAUAUUGUUGGUAUUUCCUUCAUAAUUUGAAAGGACCAUGUUGUGUUGUCGGAGAUCUUCAUCGACUUUUCCCAUCCUCUUGAACAGAGUAUAGGGCAUUAGGUUGAUUGUAGCACCUCCGUCGACAAAAACCUUAUUCACCACCAUUCCAUCCACGUUAGCUCUGAUGAACAAUGGUUUUAGAUGGUACAUCAUCCCAAGACUGGGCCUUUCAAACGUUGCUUUCUGCUCUUCCACCAUGCCGCUGUUCAUGACAUAGUAGUAUAAUGGCUUUCCUCCUUCUGUUUCAUCUGAUACAAAGUCUCCUUCUAUUUCAGAAACUUCAGACACCAUGUCGUAUUCGGAUGGCAGUACCGACACGAUGCCGUAGUUUACGAUGAAAUCAUCACCAUAGAUAUCGUCGUUGUUUUCGUCGUACAUAUCCUCGUCGAGUUCCUCAUAAGACUGAGGAGAAUACUCAAGUUCUUCUUCCUCUAGUUGGGGAGAAUAUUUUGGCCCCUCCUCAUUCGAUCUGUCUUCGUUUCUUGGCCAUCCCUCAAUCUCUGACGAACAUUCCACGUUCUGAGUGGCUAUCACUGCCUUCUUUCCCGUCGAGUCGACGGUCAUGGCCACUGUCUAGUUGGCCACCAUUUUUGCAAGUCCCUUGACCUUUGAAACUUGUUCCUUUUGUCCAGCAGUCUCUGAAGUCUUCGACUGUGGGGUGGUAACAGCUUUCAUAGCUUUUUUUUCCCGCUAGUGGCGUCUCCACUGUGUCCUAGUCAAGGGAUUCUUUCCUUUGUAGUUAGGAGAGAUUGUGUAACCUCUUCUCUUCUCUGGAGACGUUGCUUCUUUUUCCAACACCCUCCAUUUCGACUUCUUGCCCCCUUUUUUAUUGACAGGUUCUAUCCACUUCUCCUGUGGAACAUCACUGGGGGGAAUGAAUGUCUUUGGGCGAGGACACUGAAAUUGUCUCUUGUACUCUUUGUUUCGUCGAGGAGCUCUGUGCCUGUCGAACACAAAUCGUGCGACAACAAGCUUUUCCUCCUUAUUGGUCUUGUUGUCGCCCUCCAGUCUUUCGGUGGUUUUCUCGUCGAAUAUCGUGAUGCACUUUGGGCAUAACAGAGCCUUUGAUCUUUUCCCCUCGCACUUCUCCUGGAAGUCAGCCAAACUUUCUCCCGGAUGGGGAUAGGCCGACUCGGGCCUCCUUUCGUCUUCGACUUCGAAACCUUUAGUAGUUUCGACCAUCAUCACUUCAAAUAAUUCAGCCAACGAGGUUGCUUUGAGAACCUCAAUGACACCAUCAAUAGUCUCCACCAUCAUGCAUUCUAGAGAUUCCGCGUACAAUGCUUCUUCCACCUUCAAAGGGUCGGUAUCCACCUGCAUUUUUGGCCUUUCGCCAAACUGAAGCCUUCCUUCUUUCAGAGCUUUCUGCACCAAAUCCCUGAAAAGAACACAUUGGUGAGUUUUGUGACCAAGAAAAUUAUGAAAUUUACAAAAUCCCCUUUUCUUUUUCUGUUCUAGGGGAGGGUCUUUUAAACCCUAAGGGACGAUAAUUUGUCCGUCUUUUACCAAUAGAUCAAAAAUCUUAUCGCAUUUAGACACGUAGAACGUAUAUAUCUUAGCGACAUAUUUAUCUGUUCUCUCUGGUUCGACAGGGUUUUUCCCAUUCGAUGGUUUCAAAACCUUGCACGUAUAUGGAGGUCCGGGCUUGAGUUCCUCCAUGUUGACCUCACUCAUGUCGACUAUAUCUUCAUCGUCGGAAGAGUCUCCUUCGACUGUGAUGUAUGACACUUUCUCUUUUUUAUGAUAUCGACCCGCCUUAGACUUUUCCGCUUUCAAACGUUCGAUACGUCAAACCCUAUCGGUCAAUUGGGCCAUAUCCUUAAGGUAUUCGGUGUCCAGCUUCUUCUGUAUAGAAUAAUCUAGACCCCCAUCCGCCAUUUUGACUAGUUCGUGUUCAGGGACUUGAGUAAAGCAUCGCGCCUUCAAUAGUCUAAACCUGUUCAGGUACCGGUCAAUUGACUCAGCGACCUUUCGCUUAACGCUCGCUAGUUCCUUAAGACUGAUCUUUUACUGUCCCAUGUAAAAUUGUUCAUGGAACAACCUUUCCAACUGUGUCCAUGUUUGGAUCGACUAAGGAGGUAGCGUUGUGAACCAGGUAAACGCAUUUUUCGUGAGAGAACUUGGGAAGUGUUUCAACUUCAAGUCCUCGUUGUUUGCUAUGUCACCAGCCUCGGUCUGGUACCUCGCUACAUGUUCGACGGUGGAUUCUUCAGUAUCCUCCGCGAACUUAGUAAAUUUAGGGACUUUCCGUCCCCUUGGCAAUUCUAUAUGUAAGACAAAAUCUGGUAGAGGCGAGGAGUAUGUCGGUCGUUGGAGGCACGAACUUACUCCAUUUCACAUUAUGAUCCGUUCGACGAUAGCCUCUAGGUUUUGUUCCCCUACGACUGCGUCAUGUCGAACUUGUCGAACCACCUGGUCGGGAUCCUGGUUACGGUUAACCAGUACCACGGGGGGCCUUCGUGCCGCCCUUGGGAUGUGUUCAAACUCCUGGUAUUCUUGUUCGACCGUAUCCUCUGUCAUCUCCUCUUGUCGAACCGGAGUCUCUGGUCGAGGAGGAAGCGUGGGGUUAUGAUGCACUUGAGCCCUUGGGGCUCCCCAAAAGUCUCCAAUCCUGGUCAUUUGGGUCGCCAACUGUUGAUAACUUUGCGUCGAAUCCUGGAUCAAAGGCCUUAAAAUAAUACCCAUUUGUUGAGUCAGCAUGUGUACCAUUUCGUGGUUACUUUCGUCCAUUUGUUGUCUCAUAACAACAACGGAGCUUGACGUAAAUGUUGGGAUUGACUGAGACGUCAAUCCGAACCCUGAGGGCCGACUAAAUGGGGUUGCCAAAGGUCCAAACCCCUGAUAACGAGGGAAUGGCGAUGACGAGGUAUCGUUGUAAGUCGAGCCGAGGCUAUGCAUGUUUGCCAUAAACUCAGUCGGUAUUCCCAAUAUUCUGUGUAUUGGAGCCGUGUAACUGGGCAUAUAUUGCCCCAUAGUUCCCAUGGUUUUCGGUGUCGACGUUUAUGGCUGACACGGCAUCAGAAUUGGUCCCACAAACGCUGUUGAACCCGUCGAAGCCGUACUAGAGCCGGUGUCCACGACCUGGGGCGUCGUUCUGUCUCCCGUCGAAGACGUUUCUUCGUGGGGUCUAGGAGACGUCAUUUUUCCACUGCUCAAUCGCAUACAACUUAACAUUGUCGAGGUCCCUUCGGGUGUGCCAAUUGUUGUUUUGCGCAACAAUAUCUAGCCUUCCUAUAUGAGGGUUACUUGCGGGACCGACUAAUGAGUCCCGGACUUAGUGUUUUGUGUGUUUGGCUAUUUGGUAAACAAUAUUUCUGACUGGUUGAAAAGGUGUAAGCGAGACUCUUGACGAGUCAAGAAAAUAAUAAAGGUAAAAUGACAGGUAGAAAUGAUAAAGUACUGAAAGAAAGACGAUAAACAGUAAAGUGAAAACAAGACAAAAGAUAAGCUUUGCGAAGAUUAAAUGACUUGUAAUUAUAAAGUGGAGGCAAAAUACAUUGUGUGUGAGGAAAGUAACUUUUUUCUCGUGAACGCUUGGAUACUUCAAGUUUUACCCCUAUUGCAAAUGUUCAAAUUGUCACCUCCUUGAAUUCUCACCUAACAUUGGCUUAAAUACUAGUUAGAAAGUAACCGUCGGGGGUUACAAAGCCUUCUUGAGGUGCCACAUGUCGGUCUACUUCCCCCGUCUCAGCGUAUAACUAUCCACGACUUCUUUACGUGCCCACAUUUCUCAUUCUCCCCUCAAAAACCUUUUGGCUUCGACCGAAGUUUGCUCGUGUCGAUCGACAACCUCUCAUAACCUUCUGUCGAGGAGCUUCCGACGGAUCCCUCUGGUCGAAAUUGGCUUUUUCCCUUAACCAAAAUUAGCCAGCUAACACAAUUUUAUUGUGCUCGUAAAAGCAACAUGUGGUGGCAUUAUCAUCGUGUGAGGCUGAAUAUAUAGCAGGUUCCUAUGCUGUGUGUCAAGCAAUUUGGAUCAGAUUUAUGCUGGAAGAGAUCAAGGUUAAAGUGAAGAAACCUCUGGUACUACAGAUUGAUAACAAGUCAGUCAUAAAUCUUGCUAAAAAUCCAAUUUUGCAUGGAAGAAGUAAGCACAUAAAAGGUAAAUUUCACUUCUUAACUGAGAAGGUGAAUCAAGGUGAACUUGGAGUAAGGCAUUGCUCAAGUGAAGCACAAUCGACCGACAUUUUCAUCAAAGGAUUGAAGAUCGACAUGUUCAUAACGUUGAGAAAGAAACUAGUAAUAGUUCAGAUCGACAAUGAUUAGUGUGUUUCAACAAUUUGAAUUAUAGGAGGGUAUGUUAAGAUAUUAGAUGUAAUCUAGGUUGAGUUGUGUGGCACAAGCCCAAAACU
rnacentral:lncRNA from 1 species